rnacentral:rRNA from 1 species
UACGGGGGGAGCAAGCGUUGUUCGGACUUACUGGGCGUAAAGGGUGCGUAGGCGGCCUGCUGCGUCGGUGCUGAAAGCGCCCGGCUUAACCGGGCGAGGCGUGCCGAUACGAGCGGGCUGGAGCCUUGGCGAGGGUGGCGGAACUCCUGGUGUAGUGGUGAAAUGCGUAGAGAUCAGGAAGAACACCCGUGGCGCAAGCGGCCACCUGGCCAAGAGCUGACGCUGAGGCACGAGAGCGUGGGGAGCGAACCGG